GAUCCCCAUUAUUUCCUGCCAAGGCAGCAGCUACUCUUCCUGGAGUUUAUUAUGGAUCCCCAUUAGUUCCUGCCAAGGCAGCAGCUACUCUUCCUGGGGUUUAUUAUGGAUCCCCAUUAGUUCCUGUCAAGGCAGCAGCUACUCUUCCUGGGGUUUAUUAUGGAUCCCCAUUAGUUCCUGCCAAGGCAGCAGCUACUCUUCCUGGGGUCCAGCAUAAUUAAUACAGUGCAUUCGGAAAGUAUUCAGACCCCAUCACUUUUUUUCCACAUUUUGUUACGUUACAGCCUUCUUACAAAAUUGAUUAAAUUAAAUGUUUCUCAUUAAUCUAUACAAAACACCAUCAUGACAAAGCUAAAAUAGGUUUAGAAAUUUUUGCAAAUGUAUACAAAAAAAAUGCCUUACAUUCAGACCCUUCCAUGCCACCCAUUCUGAAACUAACAGCAGUUCUUUGUUAAGUUUGCAGUCAUUUCACUCGCUGUAGUAGCUGACGUGUAUAGUGUCGAGUCAUCCGCAUACAUAGACACAUUGGCUUUAUUAAAGGCCAGUGGCAUGUCGUUAGGAAAGUUUUUUUUAAAGUAAGGGGCCUAGACAGCUGCCCUGGGGAAUUCCUGAUUCAACCUGGAUUAUGUUGGAGAGGCUUCCAUUAAAGAACCCCCCCCCCCUGUGUUCUGUUAGACAGGUAACUCUUUAUCCACAAUAAAGCAGGGGGUGUAAAGCCAUAACACAUCUGUUUUGGGAUAUCAUCGAGAUAAUACCUACAAGUGAGGGACACAAUGCUGGCUGACAAGUGAGGGAAACGAUGCUGGCUGACAAGUGAGGGACACGAUGCUGGCUGACAAGUGAGGGACACGAUGCUGGCUGACAAGUGAGGGACACGAUGCUGGCUGACAAGUGAGGGACACAGAGGACCAGUGUGGUGUUAUGGUCUGGUCGUUGUUGCAUGGCUUCUUAUCCAGAGGACCAGCGUGGUGUUAUGGUCUGGUCAUUGUUGCAUGGCUUCGUAUCCACAGAGGACCAGCGUGGUGUUAUGGUCAUUGUUGCAUGGCUUCUUAUCCACAGAGGACCAGCGUGGGUGCAGGGUUGUGUUCUAACCAAGCAACAACAAACCUGAUUCAACUAAUCAUGCCCUUCGAAGUACAUGGUUAUCUAGUCAACACCGCAUGGCAAGCAGUCGUUAACACAGCUGAGGUAGAGCUCUCUCUCACACACCUCAGAGAGAGGAGGGGGACAGAACGAGAGGGGAGAGGGACAGAACGAGAGGAGAGGAAUAGAAACAUACUUUUUUUUUUGCAUGUUAGAACAAGAACAAUGCUGCUCUUACCCAUAAUCUGAUGUUGGCAAGACGAACACGUUGCUGUGUUAUCUCCACACACACACGAGCUGAAGCCAACUGCAGCGCAGAUACUUCCUAUCAUAACACAUUCGGUUUCACAACCCGAUUCACACAACUGCUGCACUUAGCCAAAUACACUCCGCUGAAUGGUUGGGUGAUGUCUGGAAUGACAUUGUCCCACUGCCCUCAUCCAAAACAUGGCUGAUAUAUGACAGUAUUUUUCUUACACUUUUUUUGUUGUUGCACUAAUUUAGGUUAUUUUCACACUUAUUUUAGUUUUGGCAACAGUUUGAUAUGCAAAAGGCCUAUUAGUUUAUAGCAUAAGUCAACAUCCAUUAUUUUUUAAAGUCUCAUAAAGAAUGUUAUAAAUUAGUGAUGCACCAAUAUGACAUUUUUGGCUGAUACCGAAAUUACAUAUUUUUUUUUUGUUGGCCUUUUAAGCAUUCUAGUACAGUUAAAUAGUUAACACACACAUGGACGCAGCGAUCUAAGGCACUGCAUCUCAAUGCAAGAGGCGUCACUACAGUACCUGGUUCGAAUCCAGGCUGUAUCGUAUCCGGCCCCGGUGAUUGGGAGUCCCAUAGGGCGGCGCACAAUUGGCCCAGCGUUGUCCGGGCCGUCAUUGUAAAUUAGAAUUUGUUCUUAAUGGACUUCCUUGACCAAUCAGAACCUGAAUAUGACUCCACGUCAAAUAAUAAUUUAACACGUUCAUACAUUUUUCACCUAGUUAUUACACAAAUCACUCGUACUUCAUAUGUCACAACGAUUCAUAGCUACGUAUGCUAUGAUGCUGGUAAAGUUGUCUCGUCACCUACAGUGCUGGUCAUAAAAAAAAGCUAGCUAGCUCAUGGAUGCAAACAAUGUUCUUCCUCAAAAACAUAACAAAUCGACAAUCUGUUUCAGUAGCUAUAGUAGCUAACUAUCUAGCUAGCUGUCAUCAUCUAAAAUAACCCUGAUUUAUAGGACAGUUCUUAUUUGAUUAAUGGUGGUCGGUCCCCAUCUAUGUGAAGCUAGCCACAACAAGGAUUAGCCACAAUCGUGGACUUUGCGGUUAGCCUUCAAAAUAAAAGUACGUCAUUGACAGAUAUGCAAAUCAAUUCAAAUAGUAGAAUUAUGCCAUUUUUAAUAGAUCACGCUAAACGAGGUUGGAAUGUUGUUAUAUAAAAAAUCAAUAAAAUACAAUUAUUUGUUAAUAUGACAAAAAUCUGUUGAAAUCUCACUGGAUGUAUUAGACUUUAGAAUUGCAUUGGGGGGCAUCCUUAUUUCACUGGACAGCCUUACCUAUGGAUUACCUAUGGAUUGUGGAUCAAUGACAUUGGGGUAUCAGUCUACUCCGUGACACCCAGAGAACAUUAGUGUCGUAGCUCUUAUUGCGGGACUCUGAAACAACUGUGAAUUGAGACACAUUUAUUGUUAUCCUAGGUUAUUUUCAUACUUAGGUAAAAUACUUAUUAGUUUAUAGCAUACGCGCCCCCCCCCCCCAUUCUCAUCGACGGGGCUGUAGUUGAGAGCAAGUUGAGAGCUUCAAGUUCCUUGGUGUCCACAUCAACAACCAAACUAGAAUGGUCCAAACACACCAAGGCAGUCGUGAAGAGGGUACGACAAAACCUAUUCCCCCUCAGGAGACUGGAAAGAUUUGGCAUGAGUCCUCAGAUCCUCAAAUGGUUCUACAGCUGCAAUAGAAAGCAUCGUGACUGGUUGCAUCACUGCCUGGUAUAUCAACUGCUCGGCCUCCGACCGCAAGGCACGACAGAGGGUAGUGCGUACGGCCCAGUAUUUCACUGGGGCCAAGCUUCCUGCCAUCCAGGACCUCUAUACCAGGCGGUGUCAGAGGAAGGCCCUAAAGAUUGACAGAGACCCCAGCCACCCCAGUCAUAGACUGUUCUCUCUUCUACCGCAUGGCAAGCGGUACCGGAGUGCCAAGUCUAGGAUAAAAAGACUACAACAGUUUUUACCCCCAAGACAUAAGACUCCUGAACAGGUAACCUAUGGUUACCCUGACUAUUUGCAUUGUGUGUGUGUCCCCCCCCACCCCCUCUUCUACUCUCUGUUUAUCUUAUAUGCAUAGCCUCUUUAACUAUACACUCAUGUACAUACUACCUCAAUUGGCCUGACCAACCAGUGCUCCUGCACAUUGGCUAACUGGGCUAUCUGCAUUGUGUCCCACCACCCGCCAACACCCUCUUUAAUGCUGCUGCUACUCUCUGUUCAUCAUAUAUGCAUAGUCACUUUAACCAUAUCUACAUGUACAUACUACCUCAAUCAGCCUGACUAACCGGUGUCUGUAUGUAGCCUCGCUACUUUUAUAGCCUCGCUACUGUAUAUAGACUGUCUUUUUACUGUUGUUUAUAUUUCUUUCCUUACCUAUUGUUCACCUAAUAUCUUUUUUUCACUAUUGGUUAGAGUCUGUAAGAAAACAUUUCACUGUGAGGUCUACCUACACCUGUUGUAUUCAGCAUUUCACUGUAAGGUCUACUACACCUGUUGUAUUCAGCAUUUCACUAUAAGGUCUACCUACACCUGUUGUAUUCAGCAUUUCACUAUAAGGUCUACCUACACCUGUUGUAUUCAGCAUUUCACUAUAAGGUCUACCUACACCUGUUGUAUUCAGCAUUUCACUGUAAGGUCUACUACACCUGUUGUAUUCAGCAAUUCACUGUAAGGUCUACUACACCUGUUGUAUUCAGCAUUUCACUGUAAGGUCUACUACACCUGUUGUAUUCAGCAUUUCACUGUAAGGUCUACUACACCUGUUGUAUUCAACAUUUCACUGUAAGGUCUACUACACCUGUUGUAUUCAGCAUUUCACUGU
rnacentral:lncRNA from 13 species